UGAAUGGUAGUGGAAAGUGGUCCUUCCUUGUGGUGUUGUUGAGCUUCCUAUAGUCAAUGCACACUCUCCAACCUGUUUGAAUACGGGUUGGCACAAGCUCAUCCUCGGCAUUCUUCACCACAGUGACUCCGGACUUCUUUGGGAACAACCUUGAACCGGUGAGACCCAACGGCUAUCCGAAGAUUGGAUAAGAUCACUCCACAAUCGAGAAGCUUUAUAAUCUCCUUUUUCACAACUUCCAUCAUUGGAGGGUUGAGUCGGCGUUGAGCCUCUCGAGUUGGUUUAGCCCCCUCCUCUAGAAAU
rnacentral:lncRNA from 1 species